rnacentral:tmRNA from 3 species
GGGGAUGCAAGGCAUAGACAGUUGGCCUUUUGUUAUUGAUGCAUACCGAGAAUGGACGUAAUCUCGUAAAACUUCGUUCAAUAGCUUAAUUGCAAAAUUAGCUUCCAAAGUGAAAGCUCUAGUCUCUCCAUACUUCGGUAUGAAUGACUUUGCUUUCGCUUCAGUUUCCGCUUCGGCGUAAACUGAUGUCUCUCUUAUAGACUUCCGAUAUAUAAGCAGGGGCACAAUAUUAUCGGGAUAGCUCCGACGCGGCUUCGCCGUCGGAGCAAAACACAGAAGAUCGAUUAAAAAAUAUUUGGCUCGUUUAAGAAUUUUUUAAUUUAAACAAAAAAGCGAGCUAUAUAUGUAGACUUCUUUACAAAAACCUUCUGCACGGGGAUUCAAUUUCCCCCAUCUCCACUA